rnacentral:rRNA from 1 species
UACGGAGGGGACUAGCGUUGUUCGGAAUUACUGGGCGUAAAGCGCACGUAGGCGGUUUUGUAAGUCAGGGGUGAAAUCUUUCGGCCCAACCGGAAAAGGGCCUCUGAUACUGCGCAGCUCGAGGGAGGUAGGGGCGGACGGAACUUCCGGUGGAGCGGUGAAAUGCGUUGAUAUCGGAAGGAACGCCGGUGGCGAAAGCGGUCCGCUGGCCCUCUACUGACGCUGAGGCGCGAAAGCCAGGGGAGCAAACGGG